UCCUACUUCCUCUGCAGGAGUAGAGGUGGAGUGCCCCCCCUGCAUGCGGCGGUACCCCGCGGAGCUGUGCCCCGAGGUGCUCUUCCGACCCGGUUACCUUCUUCCCGAGGAAGGGGCGUGCCGGCGCAGAGAGCGCGAGGCGCACCCCCGCCGGCAGGAUACCGACCGGCACCUCCCAUAGUCCAGGACACCUACGGCGAAUAUGAAUACGACGACGGCUACGGAACGGCUUACGAUGACCAGGGCUAUGAAUCCUACGACAACAACUACAGUAAUCAAGGACAGAACUCCGAGGACUACUAUGAAUACGGUCACAGUGGAGAGUCGUAUGAAUCCUAUGGCCAGGAGGAGUGGGCUAACAACCGCACAAAGGCCCCGUCAGCGCGCGCAGCCAAGGGCGUGUAUCGGGAUCAGCCAUACUCCAGAUAUUGAACUGUUUAUACAUCCGGCACCUGAGUCUCCGCAGCUGUUCCAGCUCAAGUGGCUUCAAGGAUUGCACCAGAAAAUCCUCCUUUUGAUUAUCCCAUGACUGUUAAAGGAUGAACCAGACACACGGGCAUCUCCUCCAUUUAAAGUCCUGUGCCGUCACCGGACCCUUCGGGGUUUAGACAGAAAUAAAUGAACCCGGCAGUGGCGACGCCCCUUGGAAAGGUUGACGCCCCGUCAUGGGACUCCAGGGCCCCCCGGUUGGUUGUGGACGGCCCCGCCCCCACGCGGGAAACAAUCUGAACGGCGGGCAUGACGCCGCCACGCCCCCCCCGUCGCCUGAGGUCUCGGCCCGCGGGGACGGGGGGGGGGGGGGAGCAAAACGAAGAAAGACCAAAAAGGAGCUAAUGUGUGCAUCACACUUCACCGUCUCCGGAAGAGGUUUGCGGGGGGAGGGGGGCGGGGAAGCCGCUGGGUGAAUGGACUGGCCUCGUCCGCCGGGGACACGCCGGAGAGCCUUCUGUCAUGGAGGGACGCAGGCGGGGUAUCGCUGCUCACACAUUCGGCAUUAGCGUGUGGGGGAAUGAGUGCGUGUGCUUGUGUGUGUGUGCAUGUGUGUGCUGAACGGAGCGUGAACCCCUCAAACCGCACGCACACUCACACAUGUCCUUGUCUUGUUGGUUCAGGCUGUUAAGAGGGUUGUGACCCCAUAAUCAGAGACAGGAAGCACUGAUUUAAUGUACGGGAGAUGGGGGGGGAUAAUGCGAUGCGCCCUCGGGUGUGACAUCAUACUUUCACCCAACUACGACAACCAUGUAAUUGCACCUUGUGUUGUUCAUUAACCUAUAUCCAAUCGAAGCAGAUGAAUAAAUGAUCCUGAAGGUGCCACGUAGGUUUUCCGAGAGAGAGAGAGAGGGAGAGAGAGAG